CCCUUAGAUGUUCUGGGCAGCACGCGCGCUACAAUGGUCUUCGCAAACGGAUGCAUUCUCGAAGGAGAAUGCCAAUCUUGGAAUCUAUGCCUUGGUCGGGACAGUCGCUUGCAAUUUUUCGACUCGAACCAGGAAUUCCUUGUAAUCGUGAUUCAUCACAUCACGAUGAAUACGUCCCCGCCCUUUGUACACACCGCCCGUCGCUCCUACCGAUCGAAGAGUUAGGUGAAUUGUUUUGAUCGAUAAGAUUUGACUAUGGUCAACUCUCGUUGUGAAAUUCUGUGAAUCUGACUGUUUAGAGGAAGGAAAAGUCGUAACA
rnacentral:rRNA from 1 species